CAAUAGCGUAUAUUAAAGUUGUUGCAGUUAAAAAGCUCGUAGUUGGAUUUCUGGUGGGAGCGAUCGGUCUGGCGCUUAGCGCGAGUACUUGCAUCGUCUCCGGCCAUCCUUGGGGAGAGUCUGUCUGGCAUUAAGUUGUCGGGCAGAGGAUCCUCAUCGUUUACUGUGAAAAAAUUAGAGUGUUCAAAGCAGGCUUGUGCCGUUGAAUAUAUUAGCAUGGAAUAAUAAGAUAGGACUUUGGUACUAUUUUGUUGGUUUGCGCACCAAAGUAAUGAUUAAUAGGGACAGUUGGGGGUAUUCGUAUUCCGUUGUCAGAGGUGAAAUUCUUGGAUUUACGGAAGACGAACUACUGCGAAAGCAUUUACCAAGGAUGUUUUCAUUAA
rnacentral:rRNA from 1 species